CGUGUAUCGAAUGUCUACCCUCGGACGAGAGAGUAUCCUGUCGCAGUCGUGGAAGUAGAAACUGUGAGGGGGAUACGCUGUGGGAACAUGGUCUGCCCGGUCAACAGGCGAUGCGUGCAGCCCCAAAUCGGAUGCGUCCGCGAAGUUUGCAUCUCCUUACCGACGUGUGUUUAGAGACUCUCCGCCACAUGCUCGUGUCACUCGUACGCCCACAAGAAUCCUCGCUGCGAUUGCAAAAAUAAAAUACUGUAAAAGAAACAU
rnacentral:lncRNA from 1 species